GCUGGCAGUCGCAUGACCAUGGCUCAGGAGACAGGGCUGCAGGCCCAGGCAAGGGACAGCGCAGGAAGGAAGCGCGGGACUGGUGCUGGGGGAGCCCCCUCCAGCCCCACUGCACCCCUGAGACCUGCUCUUCCAGCACCAGCUCUGAGGGUCCAACCUGUCCUCUCCAGAGUGGGACGGAGCUGCAGCCCCAGGGCACCAUGUCACGCGUGA
rnacentral:lncRNA from 1 species